rnacentral:rRNA from 1 species
UACGUAGGGUGCAAGCGUUGUCCGGAAUUAUUGGGCGUAAAGAGCUCGUAGGCGGUUUGUCGCGUCUGCCGUGAAAGUCCGGGGCUCAACUCCGGAUCUGCGGUGGGUACGGGCAGACUAGAGUGAUGUAGGGGAGACUGGAAUUCCUGGUGUAGCGGUGAAAUGCGCAGAUAUCAGGAGGAACACCAGCGGCGAAGGCGGCGCUCUGGGCCGGUACUGACGCUGAGGAGCGAAAGCGUGGGGAGCAAACAGG